rnacentral:rRNA from 1 species
UACGGAGACUGCAAGCGUUACUCGGAUUCACAGGGCGUAAAGGGAGCGCAGGCGGACCGGUGUGUCAGAUGUGAAACCCCAGGGCUCAACCCUGGGACUGCGUCUGAAACUGCCGGUCUAGGGACUCGGAGGGGCUAGUGGAAUUCCUGGUGGAGCAGUGAAAUGCGUAGAUAUCAGGAGGAACACCAACGGCGAAGGCAGCUAGCUGGACGAGAUCCGACGCUCAGGCUCGAAAGUAUGGGGAGCAAAAAGG